rnacentral:lncRNA from 1 species
CCAGGUGUUAACCUUGUGUGUGGCCUCGCUGGUUUCAGUUUUUUAGGUGGAACCCCAGGCUUUCAGGGGCUUGCCCUUUCAGGAGGAAGGAAGGAAGGGAGGCAUGUGAGUACGUCAGAACUUCCUGACACUGUUCUCACCCUCUCGCAGCUGUGCGUUUUGGACGUAUCCCCAAGAGAGAGAAGCAACGAAUGCUUGCUGAGAUGCAGAACGCCAUGAACUUGGCCAACAACCAACUGAGCAGCCUGUGCCCUCUAGAGACCUCACCUGCCCCGCACCCCACCUCAGGCUCCGUGGGCCCCUCACCACCUCCUGCACCAGCCCCGACACCUUUGGUGGGCUUCUCUCAGUUCCCACAACAGCUGACACCACCCAGAUCCCCGAGUC